AUCUUAAGCACAAGACAUCUUCCUGGCAGGCAAAGCACCAGCCUAGUGUCUGUCACAGAGCAGGCCCUCAACAAGUUCCGUCGGGUCUGCGUCCUCCUGCCUCCCUCUGCAGGAUCCUACACCCCGCUGCCUCACUUUUUCCUCGGUCAGCACCCAGGACGGGGAGCCAGGGGUGGCUGGGGCUACCCGCCCCUUUCUAGAUGCCCAGAUUCAAGGAGGCAAUAACUGUUCGCAGGAUUCUCCGUGUCUCCUCCUCAUAACAGGACCUCCCAGCCCCCCGGCGCCCCCCCGCCAACGUUUCCAUCGCCCAUGUCUCUGGUGCCCUUCUAAGUGUUUCUCCAAGUCACUCCUUGGCUUCACCCUCCAGGGGUCCAGGAGCCACGGGAUGGAGACCCUGGCACUUCCCCCUGGACUCGGCUCCUUCCACGGGCCCAGCCCAUCUGUUUCCCACCUCCCUGCCUUUGCCAUAGUGCUGACCCUGCUCCUAGAGGCUGCUCCACGCUGCUUCCCUCGGGCUGCCUGGUGAACAACUGCCCGCCGUCCAAGAUUCAGCUCCGAUGGGCAUCCUCCUCUAGCCCCCCACAUCCUCUGGAGCCCGCGCCCACUCCCUCCUCUGCUCCCCCAGAGCAUCUUACACGCGUUUGUCUCAGUAGCACAUCUCUCAUACGCCGCUGAUACGGACCCACGCACCUGCCUCCCCCUCCACCGAGCUCCCUCGGGCGGGAACCCAGCCCUCCUGUGAUCCGGGUCCCCAGCUCCUGGCCCAGAGCCUGGCACACAGCAGCUCUCUGUCCUCCCUGCCAGGUAAGGCCCUGGGGCCUACCCUCUGCUUCCUCCCUGGGGGCGUCCUGGUGACUGACCACGUUGGGGGCCCACAGGCCCAGGCGUGAGUCCCCGCGACGCCAAGACCCUUUCGGGCCUUGGGCAGAGACCGUCAGCUCCGGGAGCCUCUGUUUCCUCACAUGUCAGAUGGGGACGGUUGGGGCGAGAAUGUGAAAUGCCAGGGGCCAGUGAGAGGUGGCUUCUGUCACAGUGUCGUGAUGAGGAAACACAGAGUGGGCAGGGACAGGCCCGGGGAAGGCACAGAGGCGGAGCCAGCAGGGCCUCUCAGGCCCGACCCGGUCUCCGGGGAAGGGGCUCCAGGGCAUUUCGGUGGGGGAGGGGGUUCCCAGCUCAACGCUUUCCCCGCUUUCCCAAGAAGAGUCGACCCGACAGGACCUGCAAGACGGUGACGUGCUCACCACCCCCGGCCCCCUCCCCCACCCCCAAGGAAGACAGGAUGAAUCGUCCCCAGGUCGCCUGGUCACUGAGCCCAGGGGGAGGGGAAGGGCGCUCAGAAACGGCAGGUUUGGUCUCUCUGGGCGCCAGACUUCCCGCCGGGGCAGGGAGACCGAGGCAGGGUGGGGUUGGGGGAAGGCACUCGGUGAUGGGCCAGACGUGCAGUCUCUCUCCACCCAACUGGGUGGCCGUGUCCCUUUGCAAAGAUGGAGCGGCAGGUGUGUGUGUGGGGGGUCUCCAGGGUCUCAAGGUCUCACGUCCAACAAGUUGGGAGCCAUAAUGCACGUCCAGGCCCGCUGCCUCUGACACUGGCGGAGGAUGGAGACACUGGAGAGGCCGAAUCUCGGGGGUGUGGGGGGUGGAAAGGGCUCAGGCCGCAGGUGAACGGUGCUUGGGGAGCUUGAGAGCCGGCGGACCGGUCCUGUGAGGGGAGCCCGGGGACCAAAAGGAUUUCACCAUGGUCCCGGUGCUCAGCCGGGGUCUUGAAUGGUGCGUGCGUGGGAAUGGGUCCGGAGGUCAAGGGGGCCGAGAGCAGAGGCAAAGGCCCGGAGGCAUCCGGGAGUGGGGGCUGCAGCCGAGGGCAUGACUGUGGAGGAGACCCUCGGCGCUCCCUGCCGUCUUCCCUGACCACGGACCCCAGAAGCGAAGCCGUUUCCAGAUAACCAGAGUCAUAACCCCGGUAAGAACAUCGAGCGCUUGCAGCACAUGCUAGACUUCCGCCGCAGCACCUUCUAACACCAUCCAGCUUAAUCUGCGGGGCAACCUGGAGAUGAGUAUGCGGCUCGUCCCCUUCUCCAAAGACAGAAACUGGGCCCAAAGAGGCUACGUAACACGGCCAGGGCACACACCUCUGUGCGUGGUGGGUCUGGAUCCGAAUCAGCAGCCAAGCCCCAGCAGGCAGCUCUGCGGGCCGACCACUGAGCCGCACUGCCUCUCCAGGCCGGACGCCGCCUUCCCUCCCCUGACGGCUCGUCUCUGCUGCUUUCACCCGCCAGAGCGCAGGCACCUCUGGAGCAGGUGCCGCGUCUCAUUCUCCUCCUGGGGGGUCCCUCCACCCGCCCCCGCUACCGGCUCCCGCCACUCGGGGCCUUUGUAAAGGAGCUUGAGCGGCGCGUCAAGACCAGAAGAUUCCAGCAGGAGAAAGCCCUGGUCGCUGUCCACUUCCGGCUGGGAACCAAGAGUCUGUUGACUUAAUCAGGCAGAUGCAGAACGGGGUUGUCCUGGUGGCAAGGUUUCUAUUCCAGGAGGCCAGGCCGCAAUUAAAUGUCCCAACCUGCACACCUCCAAUGACUGCACGAGAGCUGGUUUCCCGGGCCUGAUAAGUAGCGAUGACAGACCCUUCGGCUGAAAUCCCGAAAUCACUCAGUAAAGGUCACCUUCUUCCUUCUUUUUCGGGCGGGAGGAGGGUGGGAUGAAAUUAGUGCCCAAAAUACAAGUGACACCCUCAUUUAAAACAGGUGCAUCCAAACAGCCAGUCCCCAGCAAAUGGCGUGGUCCUCCAGGCUUGUGAGCUGUUGUCACAGGGACUCUGCUGUGUGUGGAGCACCUGCUCCGGGCCAGGCACCGACCCAGGCUCUUAAACUGCGUUCACGAGUUAACACGUAUACCGAUGAGAUGACAAUGACACGAUGCUUUUACCCCUUUUACUGAAGAAUAAACUGAGCUCCAGGGACGUUCAGUCAUCUCCUUAGCGUGACACAGUGCACGUGGAACAUUCAGGAUUUACAGCCAAGUCUGUGUGCCUCCGAAUAGCAGGUUCUUUCCAUUAAACAAGGUGGUCUCAAGGUAACAAACUUAGUUUGGGAUUCAGGACAAGGCUGGUUCUGUGCUUUACAGGGAGUCCUGAGACGCCCCUAAAUAUCCCCUUCUCCUGGCCUAUCUCUGGACAUCUCUGAAGGCGCAGUUGAGACAUGGGUCUCUUCCAGCCUCUGGAAUGAUCUCUCACCAGUGACAACGGAGGCAGCUUUUUCUCUGGACAGGAGAGACCUGUCAUAGCACAACUCAAGCACAACAGAAACUUGGAACAGAAAUGGCGGGUGCCACAAACAACACCAAUGGACACGUGGUGCCUGUGGCAGACGUGACUCACUCAUCAGCCACGACCCCCUGGCCCGGACAGGCUCAGGCUCCUCCUCGACACUUCGUCCCCUGGACUGAACCGGCCCAGAGGAUGAAAAAGAGUUUCUGUCUCUGUCCUGGACCCACAGCGACCAUACUUCCUACAUGCAAAGUUCAGACGUGGUUUGGCUGAAGAUUAUCUUUCCGAUGUACGCACGUGCUUCAGAAACGCAUCCAAUAAACACACUCGGUCACAUAUCUAACGAAUCACUCUCAGUGAAGAGAACGAGAGUACCCACGGUCAGAGCUGUCCCUGAGGCUCUCGGGCAUAGGGUAACCACGGGGCCCUGCCUGCCUCCGGCUCACACGGGACAGACCAUCAACAUCCAGGGAACCGUGAAUGGGAGGCAAACCGAGACGGGAGAGGAAGCAGAAGUGGGGGAGUCGUGAGGGUAAGAACCGGUUGACAUCACCACCUCACUAGGGUCCACGCCUGGCUGGGGACUGAACUGACACAUGAUUUUUUUAACCCCUGGUUCCAGAAGAGGAAGAUCCAAACCCCUCGCCCAUCCGUACAUGCACACACCAGACCCAUGUGGGCACCUCUCCCCAAACUGCAGUCCGUCAGGUUUUAUAGCAAACUUAGCCAGGCUCCACUGUGCAGAGCCAAAAGCCCAUCGCAGCCAUGGGAGAGCCUGGCUUCACCCUGCAUCUCACAGACAGUCCCUGCCACCCACAGACCUGGAUGGAGAGAGUAACUGCAGAAACCUGCACAUCCAUGAGGCUAAAAUAGCAGACCUGCCGCUGAGUUUGUCCCAGUUCUUCGGUUCCGCCUUCAGGCAGCAUCAACCCUUUCAACUUCUUAUCUCAAAUAACUAAGCCACCUCUGCUAGGGGCGAAAUGCUACCAGCUGCCUUUAAGACAGAAAACACCACAAACAUCCUAGUGACAGGACCAAUACUGACUCCUCGGGGCAAUGGUGUCUCCUGGAAGACUGCAUCCAGGGAGAGGGCAGAUGCCCAGUCUCCAUCCUGAGCCCUUGCCCCCCACCGGCCACCACCUUGGCUCUGGGGUCUCCACCUUAAAAGGAGGCAGCAGACUUCACAAUUGGUACCCACAGCAGACAGGGGCUGGCGCCUAGCACGUCCAGCAGCGGUCUUCUGCCUCAUGCUGAACCCGCUGCCUGCCUCGGCUAUCUGGAAACCCCUCGGAGCUCUCCAAGGUACUGACCCUCAUUCCUGGCUGGGCCCCUAAAACAGAGGCGCGGUGAACAGCAGCUAUUCAGAGUUUAUAUAAUAUACAGGCAUACUUUGGUUCCAGACCACUGCAAUAAAGUAACGUGAGUCACACAAUUUUUUUGGUUUCCCACUACACACAAAAGUUAUGUUUAUACUAUAGUCUAUUAAGUGUGCAGUAGCAUUAUGUCUAAAAAAGCCAAUGUAUGUACCCUAAUUAAAAAUUACUUUGCUUCUAAAAUAUGCUAACCAUCACCUGACAACACAGGGUUGCCACAAACUUUCAAUCUGUAAAAAGAUAUGAUAUCUGCUAAGUGCAAGAAGGCAAAAGCACAAUAAAACCAGAUACAUUUGCAAAGUUCCCGUUGUUGCAGCUCAGGGGUAACGAACCGCGCUAGUAUCCAUGAGGACACAGGUUCGACCCCUGGCCUCGCUCAGUGGGUUAAGGAUCCAGCAUGGCCAUGAGCUGUGGUGUAGGUCGCAGACAUGGCUUAGAUCCUAUGUUGCUGUGGCUGUGGUGUAGGCCAGCCGGUGUAGCUCCGAUUGGACCCCUAGCCUGGGGACUUCCAUGUGCCCUGGGAGCAGCCCUAAAAAAAUGACCAAAAAAAAAAAAAAAGCAAACAACAAGAUAUACUUGUAUAUGAUCACAUUGUUUAAAAAGGAAUCAAUUCAAAAUACAUUUAGCUUCCUUGUUGUAUUAUUUGUAUCUCACAGGGGGAAAAUGAUCUAUUCUCAUCACGUUGAGAGGUAACUUUCUCACUUUUUACCCCUCAUUUACACGGUGGGUCUCUUGGAGAAGCCGGGAGACCUAUGUGGCAAGCAGGCCAUGGGUUUGCCUACGAUGGCCCUGAACCUCUGAUUCACCAGGUUCUCACGCUCUUGGAUGGCGCCUCUUCUAUAGCUUGGCCUUGGCUACUUCCCCUCCUCUCCCUGGCAACUCCAGGCUCCUAUGAUGCUUCUCUUCAGUCCUUGUAGGGCACUGAGAUGGUUUGUUGACCCGUUUAUCUCUCCCACUGGUUCGGGGAGUCUUCCAAAGACCAGAUCCUAUUCCGUACCUACUGUAGGGUGUGGCCCUCAGGCUCCUCAAUUAGUGCUUCAUUGCUUUGUAAACAGGAAAUGAGUAACCUCCUGGCUAUGACCCCAUCUCUUAAACCCCUGGCUUGACCUGCUCUCUAUGGCCCAUUCUGCUAGCGGGGCUCUCCUCCUGAUGGUGGGGUCAGCGGCCGGGGCUGGCCUCCACUCGGAAGAGACAUCCCUGGAAACCUCUAUGUCUUCUGCUUAUUUGCUUCCUUGUUUGUUGUAUUUCUCUGAGGAAAAGAGUCUGGUGGUGACUCUGGGUUACCCUUGCCACCUCGCCCCAUAAGAACACAGCAACACAGCGAUAACAAAAUAACAACAAAUGUAUCUUUUGAAUAUGAGUUUGCACUUUGCUAAGUACGUAACACGCAUUUGUCUAUAAGGCAGGUGUUGGCAUUAUUAUCCAAUUUUUUUUUUUUUUUUUACAGAUAAUGGAGCAGGCACAGAGAGGCUACAUGAUACACUCAAGGUCACCCAGCUGGUCAAUGAUGGACC
rnacentral:lncRNA from 1 species